GACGAACGCUGGGCGGCGUGCUUAACACAUGCAAGUCGAACGGAAAGGCCCUGCUUUUGUGGGGUGCUCGAGUGGCGAACGGGUGAGUAACACGUGAGUAACCUGCCCUUGACUUUGGGAUAACUUCAGGAAACUGGGGCUAAUACCGGAUAGGAGCUCCUGCUGCAUGGUGGGGGUUGGAAAGUUUCGGCGGUUGGGGAUGGACUCGCGGCUUAUCAGCUUGUUGGUGGGGUAGUGGCUUACCAAGGCUUUGACGGGUAGCCGGCCUGAGAGGGUGACCGGCCACAUUGGGACUGAGAUACGGCCCAGACUCCUACGGGAGGCAGCAGUGGGGAAUAUUGCACAAUGGGCGGAAGCCUGAUGCAGCAACGCCGCGUGCGGGAUGACGGCCUUCGGGUUGUAAACCGCUUUCGCCUGUGACGAAGCGUGAGUGACGGUAAUGGGUAAAGAAGCACCGGCUAACUACGUGCCAGCAGCCGCGGUGAUACGUAGGGUGCGAGCGUUGUCCGGAUUUAUUGGGCGUAAAGGGCUCGUAGGUGGUUGAUCGCGUCGGAAGUGUAAUCUUGGGGCUUAACCCUGAGCGUGCUUUCGAUACGGGUUGACUUGAGGAAGGUAGGGGAGAAUGGAAUUCCUGGUGGAGCGGUGGAAUGCGCAGAUAUCAGGAGGAACACCAGUGGCGAAGGCGGUUCUCUGGGCCUUUCCUGACGCUGAGGAGCGAAAGCGUGGGGAGCGAACAGGCUUAGAUACCCUGGUAGUCCACGCUGUAAACGGUGGGUACUAGGUGUGGGGUCCAUUCCACGGGUUCCGUGCCGUAGCUAACGCUUUAAGUACCCCGCCUGGGGAGUACGGCCGCAAGGCUAAAACUCAAAGGAAUUGACGGGGCCCCGCACAAGCGGCGGAGCAUGCGGAUUAAUUCGAUGCAACGCGUAGAACCUUACCUGGGUUUGACAUGGAUCGGGAGUGCUCAGAGAUGGGUGUGCCUCUUUUGGGGUCGGUUCACAGGUGGUGCAUGGCUGUCGUCAGCUCGUGUCGUGAGAUGUUGGGUUAAGUCCCGCAACGAGCGCAACCCUUGUUCACUGUUGCCAGCACGUUAUGGUGGGGACUCAGUGGAGACCGCCGGGGUCAACUCGGAGGAAGGUGGGGAUGACGUCAAGUCAUCAUGCCCCUUAUGUCCAGGGCUUCACGCAUGCUACAAUGGCUGGUACAGAGAGUGGCGAGCCUGUGAGGGUGAGCGAAUCUCGGAAAGUCGGUCUCAGUUCGGAUUGGGGUCUGCAACUCGACCUCAUGAAGUCGGAGUCGCUAGUAAUCGCAGAUCAGCAACGCUGCGGUGAAUACGUUCCCGGGGGCU
rnacentral:rRNA from 1 species